GCGAACUGAUCCAAUAUGGUAGAUAAAAAGUGUGAAAGAAAGACGAAGUCAAUAAAAAAAGCAAUUAUUGCUUUCUGUAAUGGUACCAUUUGCAUGAGUUUGUGGUUUAGACAGGUAGAGGAAUGUCUGCGACUAAGCCGAGGGCCACUGCACAAGGGUUAUUGAUGACAAAACAGGUUGGAGACUUCAUGAGAUUUUGACAGAUGGCGGGAAACCCUCAUCAACUGGAGAUCAGCCGGUAAAAAGGUCAUCGCUGCGUCUUCACGACUACCUUAUGUGCUGACCUGCGACCUAAAUCUACAUUUUCCGGAUGGUUUCCGGAUGAUAACUCAAGAACGCUUGGGCCUAGGAUCAUGAAACUUAAUAGGCAUCAUCAAACCAACCUGCAGUGCAGCAGCCCAAACUGGGGGCCAAAGAGAUGGCUGACCUUGAAAAGGAGCUCGAUCUUGACCUUGAAAACUUGGACGUAAAUACAGAUGACAUAGACCUAGACGAAAAUUUAUUGGAAGACUGAUUGGUCAACUGUGCUUGUAGACGGAAGUGACAUUUUGAUCAUUAUAAGGGAAACACGUUUUGAAAUUGCAUGACUGUGUUCAUAGAGUGUUUAUAAUUUGAUUUUAAGUUACAUAUGAGGUGUACAAGUGAUGUGAAUCUUUACUUGUGCUGUUUACUAUGUUGUCAGUGUUCAUUGUUUAAUCCCCAGUGGGACAAUGGAAUACAAAUGGUUUGUGAGAAUUUGAGACAGAAACAAUGUGUUUGAAAUCAUUUCAUUCAGUGCUAAUGUAGGUUUGAGGGAACUGAGUGAAUACUGCUUGUGCAAUUGAUAGAUACAUAUUGAUUUAAAUUAUUUUAGCGAAGUUUAUACUAAAAUUACAUUUCAAGUGUGAGGUAUGGGACAUUCACCAAAGUAAGUUUUUUUCUGCAGUGAUAUAAUUCAAAUAAAGCCAGGGUCUAUUAAAAAUGUUUAGAAAAACUAAUUUACAUUUUCUUAAUAUGUCAGCCAAAAUUAAAACAUCUAUGUAACAAAACAUAAUUGAACUUAGUUCCAUUAUCUGGCAUAUAGUUACCUUACCAGCCAUUUUCAAGAUGUAAUAACUAUGUUAUUGAACUAAAACUCUUGAAACAGUGGGUCUGUUUAGUUAUAUUGUACAUAGUGACAUCACAUUUGCAUGUUUGGAAUAUUCAUACAUAUGAUACAAUCUGUUUGUAUGAUUUUGUUAUUUAUAAUUUGCAAUAUGUUCCUCACAUGUAUUGUAUGUGGGAUACAAUCCAGUGCUUUUAAUUGUUAAAACACAUCUCAAUACAUUCUGUUGUUUUUGGGGUAAAAGAAUAAGAAGCUAUGAUGUUGAAUACCACUGAAUACAAGUAAAAUAAGCGACUUACUGACAUCUAUGUUGAGCAAUGUGGCAAUUGUCUCGGAUGAAUGUUUAAUUAUUUGUGUAGUAUAUUUGAAUAUAUUUGUUAGUUUUUAUCUAAUUAUGACAUGUUUAAGUUUUGUUCUAAUGAUGAAUGUUUAAAUAAUAUUUUUGAGUCUUGAAUCCAAAAUAAGCAUUAUUGCAAUAUGUAUAAUUAUUUGGACAAACCAUGUUUCAGUAAAUUGAAAUUAUGCAUUUAUAAUAUUUCUUGCUGACUCAGUAUUGAAUAAGGAUUGAACACUCUUAAGAAAAUACAAAUACAAUGAUGGGGGGGGCAAAGUUUGAAUCAAGCCUUUAUUCAAGCUGUUAGCAUUGAUCAUUUGACCGUAGUAACAGUGUACAUUAUAUUUAUUGAUAUAUAAUGACUAAUUGACUAUACAUCACAUGUGAAUGUUAUAUCACAAAUAUUUUGACUACUACUGUAGCAUAUUGAGGAUGGAUAUACUAAAUAAAGUUGAAAAUACAAA